AUAAAAGUAUAAACUAUCAAUCAGACAACAAAAGGCAUGUAGAUUGUGUACAUUUGCGCAUCAAAUAUGAUACAUUAGGCAUUAUAGGGUUAAAGUUAAUAUAGUUUGUUAAUGAAAAUGUCUGAAACCUAAAAACCCACCCUUAUUUUCAAAAGUGCAUGAAAGAAAUGUUUUUUUUAAUGAGACUUGACCCACUCUGAUCAUCUGCUCUUACUCAGUGUUCCCAGAAGGCGGCGUCCAAGGUAAACUACACCAGCACCGAGAUGAUAAGAGGAACCUGCACUUCUUCAGUCCAGAGUACGGCUCAUGUGAAGAUGACUACGCUAUUGACAUCUUCUCUUUUGGGAUUUGUGCUUUGGAGAUGGCCGUGUUGGAGAUCCAGGCAAAUGGAGAUUCAGUUGUGUCCAAGGAGGCCAUAACCAAUGCGGGCCAAUCAUUAGAAGACCCGCUUAUGAGGGUACAUGUGCACAAUCGGGU